GUUCAACUCCUUCCCCUGCUA
rnacentral:tRNA from 46 species